AGUGAACGCUGGCGGUAGGCCUAACACAUGCAAGUCGAACGGCAGCACAGGAGAGCUUGCUCUCUGGGUGGCGAGUGGCGGACGGGUGAGGAAUACAUCGGAAUCUACUUUUUCGUGGGGGAUAACGUAGGGAAACUUACGCUAAUACCGCAUACGACCUACGGGUGAAAGCAGGGGAUCUCCGGACCUUGCGCGAUUGAAUGAGCCGAUGUCGGAUUAGCGAGUUGGCGGGGUAAAGGCCCACCAAGGCGACGAUCCGUAGCUGGUCUGAGAGGAUGAUCAGCCAGACUGGAACUGAGACACGGUCCAGACUCCUACGGGAGGCAGCAGUGGGGAAUAUUGGACAAUGGGCGCAAGCCUGAGCCAGCCAUACCGCGUGGGUGAAGAAGGCCUUCGGGUUGUAAAGCCCUUUUGUUGGGAAAGAAAUCCAGCUGGUUAAUACCCGGUUGGGAUGACGGUACCCAAAGAAUAAGCACCGGCUAACUUCGUGCCAGCCGCCGCCGUAA
rnacentral:rRNA from 1 species